rnacentral:misc_RNA from 1 species
UUUCCGUAGGUGAACCUGCGGAAGGAUCAUUACAGAGUUCAUGCCCUCACGGGUAGAUCUCCCAUCCUUGAAUAUUUAUACCUUAGUUGCUUUGGCAGGCCGUGGAAACACCAUGGGCUCCGGCUUAUGCGUGCCUGCCAGAGGAAACAAACUCUGUUUUUAGUGAUGUCUGAGUACUAUAUAAUAGUUAAAACUUUCAACAACGGAUCUCUUGGUUCUG